GAGCCACAGCCAAUGGGUGUCAGGGUCAUCUGUGGACACUUUCUAUGGCUGUUCUUCUUUUUCCAUAGUGGACAGAAUUCACAGACCGAACCUUGGCACGAUGCCCUCACUGCAGAAAAGUGUAAGUGGUUAGGGAUUGUACUGGUGACUGGGUGGUGGGUGGCAUAAAAUCAACAGGGCUAUUCCAAAUAUCAGUUUCUAUUGGCUCCCCACAGGUCAUCUAUUGGGAGACGAUAUCCUAGGAAGAGAUGUAUUUGCUGCUUCUUGCUUGGUUUACUCUUGGCAGUCACUGCCACUGGCCUUGCUGUGAGUAGCCUCAAUGCAAACCUCUUACCAGCCUCAUCACAGGCUAAGAUUUGAGAAGGUGAUACCUUAAAGAAUGGUGAGAGAGCUGGUGUUGGGUUCUGUCCCUGUAAUCAAAGAAUACAGGCAGUUCUAAGGUAGCCCAGGCUACAUAGCAAGACCCCAUCUAUAAUACAAAAUGAGGGAGUAGGUUGUUGCCAGCUGCAAAUGUGGCUUAGCUGGUAAAAGUAUUGGCCUAGCUUGCAUGAACACGAUCAUCCAGCACCACACAAACUGAGCAGAACUGAGCAUGGCGGUGCAAGCCUGUG
rnacentral:lncRNA from 1 species